rnacentral:rRNA from 1 species
UACGGGGGGAGCAAGCGUUGUUCGGAUUUACUGGGCGUAAAGGGCGCGUAGGCGGCCACCGCAAGUCGACUGUGAAAUCUCCGGGCUUAACCCGGAAAGGUCAGCCGAUACUGCGGGGCUAGAGUGCAGAAGGGGCAACUGGAAUUCUCGGUGGUAGCGGUGAAAUGCGUAGAUAUCGAGAGGAACACCUGCGGCGAAGGCGGGUUGCUGGGCUGACACUGACGCUGAGGCGCGAAAGCUAGGGGAGCGAACGGG